rnacentral:rRNA from 1 species
GUGCCAGCCGCCGCGGUAAUACGUAGGUGGCAAGCGUUGUCCGGAUUUAUUGGGCGUAAAGCGAGCGCAGGCGGUUUCUUAAGUCUGAUGUGAAAGCCUUCGGCUCAACCGAAGAAGUGCAUCGGAAACUGGGAAACUUGAGUGCAGAAGAGGACAGUGGAGCUCCAUGUGUAGCGGUGAAAUGCGUAGAUAUAUGGAAGAACACCAGUGGCGAAGGCGGCUGUCUGGUCUGUAACUGACGCUGAGGCUCGAAAGCAUGGGUAGCAAACAGGAUUAGAUACCCCCGUAGUCC